UUAUUUAAACCAAAACCCAUGGUCAGUAGCAAGCUAACAAACAUUAGGCUGUUGUAUCUAGGUAAACCGGCAGCAAAUUUCACUUGAGAACUAGCCAAAUGUGUGAAUGUGCUCCAUCUCUUCCUGGCCCUUUCUGCUCUAACAGACGAUGAGCAUCUGAUCCUGCGGGACAGGCGGACCUGUUGGAGCGUCUCAUCGUAAACGUAUGACCAGCUCUUUUGGUGUGACAGAGACCGAAAGUGAACUUAUACUCGAGCAGGUCGUGUUUACUGAGAAAACAGAAUUCUGGGGGUUUCCAGGAUGGCAGAUAUCAUCCUAAUCUGAGCUCUGAGGGUUUGUCUGGGCAUUGGCACUGUCAGCGUUUGUUUAAGUGUAUAAAACCAACAGUUUGGGAAAGGCCCGUUUCUGUUCCAGGUCUAUAUAGACGUGAGGGCCUCUUCCACGGCCUGCACGGAGCCCUGACCUCAACCACACCGAACAGCUUUGGGUUGAAUUGGAAAGUUGACCACAAACCAGGAUUUCAUCUAGCAUCACUGCCUGACCCCAUGAAAUGCUCUUCUGACCAAAUGGGGCUUGGACCAGUGACCUUCCGAUUACUACUCCCGCUCCUCAACCACUGAGCUACCACUGCUCUACUAAAUAAUGAUAUUUAAAUGGCAACUCAUUAAAAUAUCAUUCAUUUA